CCCCCCCCCCCUUGUCGUCAUGGCGACCGCUCGCUUGUCAGUCCAUCCCUGGGUGCCGCCCCCCCCCCCCCCUGACUCCGGCAUGUUUGUGCACCAGGGCCGCCGGAGCUGUGGGGGUCAUGGGAAGAUCCUGGGAUUCUCACCGAGUGUGAAACUGUAUCUCGUAAAAAUCAGCGAGAUGCCAUUGUGAAGCUCAGGGACUGAGGCAUUCGCAUGGAAAUACAAGACUAAAAGCCAUAAAUAGCUCCCUUUUUCAUUCAGGCUGGGACAUCUUGGUCUGUCGCUGCAGGUUUUCGGCCAAAUUUGGUCGAAGAAACAACAGUUUUGGAAGCUUUCAAAGGUAUCACUGACAUCACUGUCAGUUAAUUACAAGGGACACUUUGGUGUUUUGCCCAAUGCCCAAAACUGUAAUGGUUUUUCUUUAGCAAUUAGUUGAAGGGAGUGGACAGAUCUCUAGAUUAAAGUAGAUUCAUAAACCCUGUAUUUAGAUUAGAUUAGAUUAGAUUCAACUUUAUUGUCAUUGCACAGAGUACAAGUACUGAGGCAACGAAAUGCAGUUAGCAUCUAACCAGAAGUGCAAAAUCAGAAGAGUGCAGAGUAUGUGCAAAGUGGUAAUAUAAAAAUAGAUAAAUAGAAUAUAUACAGUAUGGUAUAAGACAUAAGUAAUAUGAACAGUAAGCAGCAAUAGUGGUGGUUAGUGCAGAUGUGAUAGAGAUAUAUGAUAUAGAUAUACAGUAUUUAUUUAUUCCGUUUCCUGUAUUGUAAAAGGCAUACCUGUGGCUGCAUGUCAUCUGAAUGUCUGGAUCACCGAUGAUGGCCUGCACAGGAUCUUUGAACUAUGACAAUGAAACAAACAAACAAAAACCACAUCAUUUUCAUGUACACAAGAAUACAUUACAUUUAAAUGAUACAGUUUAAAUGAGGGUUAAAUGUCCUCAUUUGACUAUAUCCACAAUGAUUUUAUUAACACACAGGCCUCAGAAAUGUAACACCAGUACGGAAACAAAAACAUGACAAAAUAGUUCAGACGGUCAAGGCCAAAACAUCAUUUAACACAAUUCCCCUAUUUGACCAGACACCCUAUAAGAUGAUGCAACCCUCCUGAUGAAAUGUCAUUUAGUGAACCACUAAAUGAGAAGCACUCAAUAGAAGCUAUUUGACCAGACACCCUGAAAGAUGAUGCAACCCUCCUAAUUGAAAUGUAAUUUAGUGAACCACUAAAUGAGAAGCACUCAAUAGCAGCUAUUUGACCAGACACCCUGAAAGAUCAUGCAACCCUCCUAAUGAAAUGUCAUUUAGUGAACCACUAAAUGAGAAGCACUCAAUAGCAGCUAUUCCCAGGCUCAUGCUGUGUGUGUCUGCAUUCCUUUCACCUUAACUUUAUUGAGUUAUCCGAUUUGGCAUCCAUGGAGUCCCAUACAGACUGCUGAGAUGCUCCUACAGAGGCACUGUGCCUUUAAGCCUACAGAGGCACUGUGCCUUUAAGCCUACAGAGGCACUGUGCCUUUAAGCCUACAGAGGCACUGUGCCUUUAAGCCUACAGAGGCCCUGACCAAUUGUGUUGUCCAUACACAAAGCUAAGUGGUGUCAGGUUGAAUGUGUUUCCCUCCAGGACAACAACACACAGUCAUGUAUGAAGCCUUAUUCUUUUUUGUCUCCCUCAACAGGUUCCUAUUGAAAAAAAGCUUGUUUGUGAUCAUAAAUGUACUUAUGGUCCUGGCAGGUUUUUUCAACGUAUCCAGCAAACACUUCUCAGUGUGAAGUAGAAUGCUGUUUAAAUGCUGUUAAACCCCAUCAAGUGGAAACCAGUGGCAUCUUUUCCUUGUCACCAUAGCGAAGCCCAAAGCAAAACAAUGAGGCUGAGUCACGAGCUGGCCGGAUUCUUCCAGAACAUAACGCAUACCCUGGACAGCACAGGACCGAGAAGCCAAACUGAACACACAAAAAAAUUGCAAAGCUAUGCUGGAAAAAAAAAGGAGAGAGAAGCUAGAAGAGGAUUAAAAAAAAAGGACUUCCAAGUUCAAAUGUCCGGCACCUUGGCAAAGCAGAUUAGGAAAGCUGAUUCUACUUCAAAGGACUGCGGGAUCGAACAGAGAGGGUCAUUUCCGCUCAAGAGGCAGGCAACCUCCUUACCCUUGGUAUCUGAACAGGGUCAGUAGUAACUAUGUCGGUUGCCAUGGAAACUCAGGACCUGCGCCCUCUGAAAUGAUCGCAACUUUCCAUUUUGGGGGGGUCAGUUUUCAGCUGCUUAGGGAGGCAGGCAGAUCGCUGCUAUUCCAACUGAACGAAGAUGAGUUUUCCAAGCCCAGUCGAAAAGGGAACAUUGCAGAGUGUAAUGAUUGUGGUCAGUGUCCUGACUGCCAUAUCCAGUAUCUUGCGGUCCACAACCCACUGCAGGGGCCUCCGGCACAGGGGGAUAGUUAACCCUCCCCGUCCUCCGGCACAGGGGGAUAGUUAACCCUCCCCGUGCAGCCUUAAGCAGAUGUGUCUCCCCAAAUGACUCAUAACCCCCUGACUGUUACAUUACAUAACAGGGAGAACAGCUCCGUCGUGUGUAUGUGCGUACGUGGUACCAGCAUUUUUUUUUUUUCAAGUUGAUGCACAUCCCCCUGCUGCUGAAAAAUGAUCAGACUUUGUCAAACAAGGACGCUACAGGGAAAGAAACGCUAAAAGCUGGUACAGUUUUAUUUGUCAACAGGGAGGAACUGAGACCGAGAUCCACCAUACCUCUGGAUUACUGUGGUCUGACUGUGACAUUACAAUCACUGCUGACAUUUCAGCAGCUGAAACUAGAGAUUGUCUUGCCACUAAAUUUAAUAGUGAAAAGGUCAAUCUCUGAAGUAAGGCAAAAAUGUGAUCUGUUGACCCUUUCCUUCUGUUCAAAUCUAUGGGUUUGAUAAACAGUAAACAAACCACACUAGCGUGUCUGUUUCACUUUGUUUAGGUGUUCGAAACCCAAGAAUGUUCGACGCUUUCCCACAGUCAAUCCUGUGCAAUGACUCCCAGCUCUGCUUCUCAGUCUACCAAAACAAGCCCUUAAAUCAGAGAAGCCCCUCAAAAAAAACACCAAGCCUUAAAAAGCUGGUGAGGUUGUUUGGCCUGCUGUUCACCGUGUCUGGCUUUUGAAGCUUUCAUUACCUAAAUGAGUAUUGAAGGGGAGACCGGGGAAAACGCCAGGAGCUCCAGCUCUCAGUCCAGCUCUCUCUCCCUCCAAAGCCCCGAUGCUCUCGCCAACCCUGAGGAGAGCCGAGAGGAGAGCCAACCUAAUAAGGUCAAUUCAGACCUCUCACAUCUGCCGAAAGAAUUCACAGGAACACACAAAUCGUGUUUACUUUGAACACCCUACACAUUCUUAUCUGCUUACAAGCACUGAAGCACACUUCCCUUGCCAGCAGCAGAACACACUUGGAAAUGGGUGGUGUUGGGAGAUAUGCUUCAGGAGAACCGGCUUGUUUUGCUGGGUUACAUAUUAUCAGAAAUGCUCUUGAUGUCUUGAAUGGGUAGGACAUCUUCCAAAAAGUCAGCCCAGAUAUUUACUUGCUCGACCAAACAUGGAGAUGGGAGUUUAGAGUGUGGGAGCUGGAUUUCUCUUGGGCCUGCUAGGAUGGGGAUGCCUCGUCUCUGUAAACUUGGCUAGGAUAUCAGACGGCUUUCUCAGAGCUGUGAGACUGCUUUGCCUGCGUGUCAAAUGCUGCCAGCUUUAUUGGCAACUAGACACCCUGCCUCCCGUCUGUUCACAUUAGAUUUCUUAUCUAUUCAGCAGUUCUUGAGAGCAAUCAACAUUAUCUUGCAACACACUGAAGGGCCAAUCUGUUUCACUCCCUUAGCAAGAUGCUAAAUCUCUCAGUAAUGUGUUAACAUCAGUCAGCCGGCCCGAUGCUGUGCUAAUGCAAUCUUGCACUUGGAGGUAACAGGAUGCAGAGAGACAAUGAGACACUCGAAUUGAGCGCCUGAGGAGGAUUGUAAAUCACUCUCACAUGGGCUCCCGUCAAGGGGACAGGCUGGCUCAUAUGGGAUGGAUUUAUGCCCACAUGGCAUUCAGCUUAUUCAUGAAUUCUCACGUUAUCGUCACCAUGACAGGCAGCCUCAUAAGGGAUGGAUUUUUUUGCCCACAUUGGAAUUCAGUUAAUUCAUGAAUUUGUACAACAUCGUCACCAUGACAGGCUUAUUUAUGUUGUUCACAGCUUUUAGUGUAACAAUACAAACAUGUCAUGUUAUGUUGGAAUGUAAUUUUUUGUGCACACACAAUGUGUUACCCCAAUAAUUAGAAAGAGGUACACAUCCCCCUGACCGAGGUAUCAAUGGUGGUUUCUCGGCUGGGAUGAGGUAUUACCAGUGAUAACACGACCACAGCACAUGAACUCCACAAGUCUCUGUUCAUUUGUGGAACUCAAUGGCAAUACUAAACAGGCUGGGGGGCCACAGCCAACAAUCAAAUCCCAUAGAACAACACUACCCAAUGAGGCUUAAGUCAUCCAUUCAUUCAUUUAGCAGACGCUUUUAUCCAAAGCGACUUACAAGGAUGUAUACACAUUUUACAUUUACACUGAUGGCACACGGCACAUCAGGAGCAAUUAGGGGUUCAGUGUCUUGCUCAAGGACGCUUCGACAGGGAAUCGAACUAGCAACCUUCUGAUUACUAAACGACUUCUCUACCCCCGUACCACUGUCGCCCCCGUACCACUUUGUCAUCCGACAAAACAUGAAGCCAUUUUAUACUAUGGUGGACUUGCGAGGCAAUUAAAGGAUUGUCAGGAUUCGCCAUGGAGCUCAUGCUUUUCACACAGACACUGAGUCAAACCCGUGGGUGAGUGACCAACCAGACCUAACCCAAACAAACCACACCCUACCCAUCCCUCCGCAUUUUAUACACACCAAGGCCACGUUACAAAGACAACUGUCUCGCCAUUUCAACAUGAAAACAAGUCCAAGGAGCAUUUCAACUAAUUGCACGCUUGAACAUGCUUGUAAGAGAGCAGACUGUACAGUGUCUCAUUCAAGAUAUUCCACAGUGUCUCAUUCAAGAUAUUCCACACCCCUCAGAGAAGUCGUGUGGAUGCUCCUCCUUCACACGGAGGUUUACUGAAUGGGACCGGCUGGAGGACCCACCAAGUCAGGAAUGCAAACCACUCAGGCUGAAUGAAUCCAAAUCACUGAGGUUCCCAGAUAUGUAGCCAUUGUAACUCCACCAUAUCCAUCGUGUUGAACCACAGUAAGUGAUCUAUAACUCACGCAACCAGGCAAACUCCAUAUCCAUCGUGUUGAACCACAGUAAGUGACCUAUAACUCACGCAACCAGGCAAACUCGACAGGCAAAGUAGGGAAUUUUUCUAUUGCAACGGAACAACCACUUCUAAAAGUUUGUGCGUUUUCACUGAACACUUAACACCAUAAGAGGAAGGCUUUGACUUGAGUACCCUUGGCUUUUCAUUAUUUACCCAAAUUCCCCUGGGACACUCACUUAGCGGGUCGCACAAUUGGUCAUUCUCUCCAAUGCUCUGCUGCUGAUGCUCUGACCUUCUGACCUUUUGACCUUUUGAACUCUGACCUUCUGCUCGUCCUGACAAAAGCCAUCGCCACCUUUGGUCACACUGUCAAUAAACAAAGCCACGGGACCUCACCUCAAGCUGACCAAUUCAACUAUUGCAACCACAUCAAUAAAGCUACCAAUAAAGCUAUAAAUCAAGCUAUCAAUAAAGCUAUCAAUAAAGCUACCAACGAUUAGGCAGAAGGGUGGCCGAUUGGUCAACCAGGGUGACCGUCACUCAAAGCCACUUUCAUUGUCUUCUUCUCUAGAGAGACUUGACAAGACAACUUUUUGACCCCAGCUGACCUCCGAGGUGCUAACCUCUCUGUCUACAUGGGCAGACUUGAAAGAAAGUGCCGGUUAAUGAUUGCAUAUGCUGCUGUUGCUAGGCUGCGGCGGCUCAGCUGCCUAUGGCCUGAUGUGGGCUGCUCUGUUUGUUUGCAGUUGUGGGAGUCAUUAAUUCAAUCCGGAAUUUUCCAAACAGAUACCACUGAGCAUAAACACAGCUUUAAACACCGCCGCCUGAACGGAAACGAAAUGUUUUGGAAGCGCAUGUAAGCUUCCUGGAAAAGUAUGACUAAUGAUAACAAGUCCAUUCCCAAUGUUUUUUAAUUCCUCAGUGUUUGAGAUUUUAUUUAGGACAACAAUAUUACUCUGCAAAUGCUAAUGUAAUAAAACAACGCUUAUUUACAAAUAGUCUGAAGAGACGGUACCAAAAAGAUCCAUCUUUAACAAAUCCCUCUCCUCUGUUGCCCAAUCAGAUCUGUGCCUCAGCACCAAGGCAGUCCAACACUGGCCCGUCCAGCCCUGCGGGUGAAAGGGAAAACAUCUAUGCAAAGCAGAGACUGAAAGGGUGAGCGGGGUGAAGAAUCUCUUAAUGAAAGAACAACACACCAGAACCAAAGACGGAAACACCACAAGCUGAAAACAAGAAUGCCUCCUCUAACUCCCCAACCCGGGAGCUUCGCCGACGCCAUUAUUAUCAAUCACCCUCAGCCGUUGUCUGACCUUCUCCGACUAAAGGUUAACCACGCAGUCUGCCGGCACCUUCAUUCCACAAAGCGACUUGGCUCGUAGGAAUACAGGAGCGGAGUCCAUACAAGGAACAGCUAAUCAGCUUGCUCAUGAUAAGUUUGUAUAUUCCUCCUAAUAACAACACCCCGCAGACACUGCCGUUUCACAGCCUUGUAUGGUGCUUCGGCUCACUGCCCAGAAGAGCCAGCCAAGGGGAGGGAGAUGACUUCUCACAUACCGCUCGAAAAAUAAAGAGCAGAGUGUUUUAUCUUAAUCCUCCAUUCACAUGGUAAUUGAGUAGUCUGACAGCGCGGUAAAGGGGCAGACGAGGGGCAGACGAGGGGCAAGGAGGGAUAAAUACUCACAUUCCUGCCUUUGCAUGUAGUUUCAUACCACAUCAUGGCAUGUCGCCUUUGCAUGUAGUUUCAUACCACAUCAUGGCAUGUCGCCUUUGCAUGUAGUUUCAUACCACAUCAUGGCAUGUCGCCUUUGCAUUUAGUUUCAUACCACGUCAUGGCAUGUUGCCUUUGCAUGUCUCAAGGCGAGAGAAACACUUCCAUAGGUACAGUGAUGGGUGUGGUCUGAAUCAUUUGAGAAUGUCACAUGGCACACUGAACACCGUAGCGGAGUUCAGAGCAAAAGGCCGACCAACAUUUUGCAUCUGCACACUUCCUGAACACAUUAAGAAUCCUCACUAUACCAGCACUACCACACACUCACACGCACAAGGAUUUUUCUCUCUUUCUUUUUGCAUAUGCAAACCUAUAGGGCUCAGUGUGUGUGUGUGUGUGUGUGUGUGUGUGUGUGUGUGAGCAAGAAGCAGGUAGGGCUCCCACACAGGGGGCCGGGGACGGGGCGAGGGGCCGGGGGCCCCACCAGGCCUUGUGUCAGCAGCCG
ensembl:lncRNA